UAUAGAUUGACCUUAAUGAGAGUCGAUAUUGAAGUUUGAAAUCCAAUUAGUGGGUUUCAACUGCGUUUUGCAUCAAACAAGAGAGAGAAUUGCUACUUAAGCUUAAGGCAAGUUUCAUUGAUUCUUCUAAUCGCCUGGCUUCUUGAAAGGAAUUGAUUGUUGCAGUUGGAUAGGAGUGGGAUGUGAUGACACUAAUGACGGUCAUGUCGUCAAGCUUGAUCUUCGAAAUUAUGAGUAUUCCUCAUCCUCUGUUUUACUUAGCAAUGGUGUGGACUCUAGUUUGUUUGAGUUGAAUAUUUGAAUUACUUGGAUUUAAGUGCAAAUUUUUUCAACUACACUAAAA